ensembl:lncRNA OIP5-AS1 OIP5 antisense RNA 1
AGGGUUGGCCACCUUGAGAAGCUGCGAAGAUGGCGGAGUAAGGCGUGCCGCUGCAAACUGGCCUCUGGGCCGGGGGCGAGCAGCCCCCGGGAGGCCGAGUGCAUCUGUUGGACCGUGCGAGGAGAAGAAAAAAAAUAUCGGCCAGAGGAGAGGAACUAACCGAACAUUCUUCCUCCCUACCUUAUAGAGGGGAGUGGUCAUCUACACUAAAGCAAAGUGUUAGGCGCGUCCGUGCGAAGAGACCACCAAACAGGCUUUGUGUUCCUUAUCACAGGAAGAAAAUUUUCCUUGACCUUUAGGUGCUUUUAUAUUCAUCUCAAAAACAAAAUUCUGAACUCAGGACUUGGCAAAGAUGGAGUUUUGCCAUGUUGGCCAGGCUGGUCUCCAACUCCUGACCUCAGGUGAUCCACCCCCCUCAGCCUCCCAAAGUGCUAGGAUUACAGGCUUGGGCCACCGCGCCUGGUGUCUCUAUGUUGUCUCCUAGAGUGGGUAGUCCUGCUUCUUUUACCCAGUUACUUUCCCGUUUUUGAAAUGUGGCUAUCACUUCUCUACACAUUACCUCCAUGAUUUGGAAUGGAAAAGGCCACUUUUCUUUUUGUUCUGCCUCUCAAAUUCAACACAGAGGAGCUCCUAGGAUUCCAGUUAUCCUGCUAACAUCUCCAGGAAGAAAGAAGCAACUCACAUGGGUCUUUUGCUGUUUGCUUAAUUAUAAAGACAUCAUUUUGCAAGCAGAAGGCUGAGUUUCAUUUGAAACAGGUGCUUAGGUGGUGGUAUUUGUGAAUACUUUUCAUUCCAAGCAAGAAGACUAAAGAAGUAGCAAGUAUGAAUGACUUCAGGGUUUAAAAAAAAUGUCUUCCAGUUUCAGCCACUACCAUGAUAAGCACAGUUGAGACUGCAGCAGUAAAUUCCAAAUAUGUGUUUCUAAUUUGACGUGAAAGAUACUAAAAAUUUAUAUUUGUAUAUUUAAAUCCUGGCUCAUCCUGUGACAUAGAUUUACUGAAUAGGAACAAAGGCCCAAUUUUAAACAAAAACCUAGGCCGGGUGUGGUGGCUCACACCUGUAAUCCCAACACUUUGGGAGGCCAAGGCAGGCAAAUCACCUGAGGUUGGGAGUUUGAGACCAGCCUGACCAACAUGGAGAAACCCCAUCUCUACUAAAAAUAGAAAAUUAGCCAGGUGUGGUGGUAGAUACGUGUAAUCCCAGCUACUCGUGAGGCUGAGGCAGGAGAAUUGCUUGAAUCCGGGAGGCGGAGGUUGCAGUGAACUGAGAUUGCACCACUGCACUCCAGCCUGGGCGACAGAGUGAGACUCCGUCUCAGAAAAAUAAAAAACAACUUUGGACAUAGAGGAGUUGGGGGCAGAGGGGGGAGGAUGAGAGAAUUUUCCAUGUAACUCCUUUUCCUUAAGAAAAAGAAGCAAAAAUCCCUCAUGCAGUGCCAUCUGACUUUAUGGUGUUUCACAUUAUAUAGUUACUUUUUUUAAUAAACGCAUAAGAUUAACUCUUCCUGCAACCCAAGGUGGAUACUUGGAUGUUUGAUUUUUAUUUAUUUAUUUAUUUAUUUUUUGAGGCAGUCUCUCUCUGUUGCCCAGGCUGGAGUGAUGCGUGAUUUCUGCUCACUGCAGUCUCUCCCACCCGGGUUCAAGCGAUUCUCCUGCCUCAGCCUCCCAAGUAGCUAGGAUUACAGGCGCGCACCACCACGCUCAGCCUGAUUUCUAGGCUGAAAAGGCUGGGACUCAGGUACUUUCCCCAGUUGGGACUGAACUUUCUCAUCAGAGAAUGGGCCUCAGAAGCAAUGUUCCCAAACUUGUGGUUGGGUCAUCGUGGAAAAGAAACCUCAAAUAAGAAAAAUAAUUACAAUAAGAAAUGGAUUUUCUUUUUUCCCACAACAGUUAUACAUUAUAAAGAACAGACUGUCGUAGAAAACUGUCUUUGCUUCCAAAUCAGCAGAGGACCAUUGUAUGUAUUGUCAGGUCUUUAUAUAAGAGUGAAACCUUUAUUUAUGCUUCUUGUGAGUAGAGAAUAAAUUUUAAAACUAAUUAGAUGAAAUUAAGAACAGAGUAUUGGAACAUCUCUGUGUUUUCCGGAAUGUUUACUCAGGUCCAUGAAUGCUGUGAUGCUGGGAACUUAGGGAAGAUUCACCAAAAUUUGAGAGUGAUAAAAAUGGCCUAAAAUGGGAAAUGGUGAGCACUCUUAUUAUUAGUGAGAUUGGUCAAUCAGCCCAUUUGAAAUGGGUAAAAAAUACUUUCAGUAAAAUAAUUACAUAUUAUAUAUAAAAUAUUUCUUUUUUUGAGGGCAGCUACUGAGUGAUAAAAGCAUAGUAGAAAUCACUUUGGUUAAAAGUAACUCAAAUUUUUCUCUUAAGUAAUCUACCAACUUCCUGAUGUUUUUCUUUAAUAUUUUGGAACUGUUCAAGACAGAAUGGAGCCUACAUAUAUGGUGUUCCACUAGUAUGUUGAAAAUGUCAUAUCAUGGAGAAUGGAGACACCUUCCAGGUGUCUGUUAAACCCAUCUUCUCUGUGUACUUCUGGCAUCUUUUUUGGUAGGAUCAUUUGGCAGGGGGUAGAGUACCUGUACUUUUGGCACCAUUGAAACCAGCUCUGGCCCACUUGUUUGAAUAGCUAUCAGACUCAGCGUCUCUAUAUGCUUUAUAUACAGUUGAGAGAACCAGUGUUUAAUGCUCUUGAAAUUGUAUCUUCCAUGCUUCAGACCAGAUGCAUUUAACAAAAUGGAUAUAUUCCAGCUGUAGUUGCCCAGUGUUUACUUAACACAUCUACAUUUUUUUCUUGUCUAUUUUGGUCCCCUUGAUAGGAAAAGCUAUAAUUUUAGGCAGGACUAUACGUCGAUUUGUAGCCAUGCUUCCUUCCUUUCCCUUGCUCAUCCAUGUUAGCUGGCAGUUUUUCUUUUGAAAAGUUAAAACCGGGAUAUGUGCAAUAGAAAUAUAUAUAUAUAUAUGUAUAUUUUAAUACUUGUGGACAAAUGUUACAAGUUGUUUAAGAACAACAAAAUCACCAAUGUCUUCCAUUUUGAGAUGUGUAUAGUUUUGUAAGCAUUAGUGCUUGGUAGCAUAUUGUAGUGCCAUGUUAGGGGUUAGUGCAUGAGUCUAGUGAUUUUAAACUUCAGGAUGAAUUAUUGAUAAUAACAAAUAGUGUAAAAAGAGUGGAAAAUCUAAACCUUUUCUUUUUCCAUAAUGUCUAAAUCUGUUAUAUUCUUCCUGGGGAAAAGAGAUUAAGGCCCAAAAGACUCAUUUAUGAAUAGAAAUGUGGGGUCAAAAUCUGAGAUACUAUAUUUGAGGACAUUUCAGCUUUCCAUAAGGUAUCUGGAAACCAGCUGUCUUUGUGUCUUAUGAAACCUCAAGUCAAAAUGAGACCGCAUUUAAUUAUUCUGCUUUGCUCUUUUUUUGGGGUGGGGGGGAGAUAGAGUUUCACUCUGUCACCCAGGCUGGAGUGCAGUGGCACAAUCUUUGCUCACUGUAACCUCUGCCUCUUGGGUUCAAGUGAUUCUCGUGCCCCAGCCUCCCGAGUAGCUGGGACUACAGGCACGUGCCACCACGCCCAGCUAAUUUUUAUAUUUUUAGUAGAGACGGGGUUUUGCUGUGUUGGCCAGGCUGGUCUCAAACUCCUGACCUCAAGUAAUCCACCUGGCCUGCUCUUUUCAUGUCUUAACAUGGCAUGUCUUUUAGUUUCAUUAUUUUCCUACUCCUUGUAUGUCAAGAAAUUACAUUUUGCAUGUCUUAUGGAGAUGCUGUUAAUUGCUUCAGUGAGUGCUUUUCUAAUCUGCAGACCAUUUACAUUUCCUGUUUGCAGCAUGCUGUGUGCAAACACUCAGUAAUUUGGAGUAUUCAAUUAUUUGUUAGGGCUCUUCCUAUUUCCAAAUGUGCUGAAUUGUCUAUUGAUGGGAUUUUCAGAUCUUUUCAUGAGAACUGGAAAUGUAGCUGGGUGGCACCUACCUAGGUUGCUACGUAGUGAGUAGACUUUCUCUUGGGUAUAGUAAGCCUCAGACAGCUUUCACUUUUAUCUACUUUACUUGUGGAAAUAAAACAGUCAUUUUGUUCUGAAAGAAUAAGAUAGCUUUCUGUAGAGAAGGAAUUCCUACCUCUAAAAGCUGCCUUGAGAACUCAGAACUGGCAGUUUUCUGAGGUGAUUUUUAAAUUUCAGUAUUAGGGAGAGUCCAGCAUUUGCUGACACAGAUUCUACAUAACUAAUGUAUGAUAGCAAAUGCAAAACUAUUAUAAUGUGGUGUAUCUUGCGCAUACACAGGUUAGAACAAGUAGACUCUGGCAGCAGAUCUCCAGAGACCCAAGUUUAGGUUCUCAUAGUGUAUUUGAAGUAGUUAUACUCCUGGCUUAAGUAGUUUAGUGCCUGGGAGAAUCCAUUACUGAAA